GACGAACGCUGGCGGCGUGCUUAAUACAUGCAAGUCGAACGGAAAGGCCCUGCUUUUGUUGGUUUCUCGAGUGGCGAACGGGUGAGUAACACGUGAGUAACCUGCCCUUGACUUUGUGGUAACUUCAGGAAACUGGGGCUAAUACCGGAUAGGAUCUCCUGCUGCAUGGUGGUGGUUGGAAAGUUUCGGCGGUUGGGGAUGGACUCGCGGCUUAUCAGCUUGUUGGUGUGGUAGUGGCUUACCAAGGCUUUGACGGGUAGCCGGCCUGAGAGGGUUGCCGGCGUCCAUGGGACUACGAGACGGACCAGACUCCAACCGGAGGCAGCAGUGGGGAAUAUUGCACAAUGGGCGGAAGCCUGAUGCAGCAGCGCUGCGUGCGGGAUGAAGGGCUUUGGGUUGAAAACAGCUUUCGCAUGUGACGAAGCGUGAGUGACGGUAAUGGGUAAGGAAGCACCGGCUAACUACGUG
rnacentral:rRNA from 1 species